AUUGAACGCUGGCGGCAGGCCUAACACAUGCAAGUCGAACGAGUGGCGGACGGGUGAGUAAUGUCUGGGAAACUGCCUGAUGGAGGGGGAUAACUACUGGAAAGGUUGCUUAUAACCCAUUACAAUCGGAGUUGCCAAAAUGGGUUUAGCUUGUUGGUGGGGUAACGGCUCACCAAGGCAACGAUCCCUAGCUGGUUUGAGAGGAUGGCCAGCCACACUGGAACUGAGACACGGUCCAGACUCCUACGGGAGGCAGCAGUGGGGAAUAUUGCACAAUGGGCGAAAGCCUGAUGCAGCCAUGCCGCGUGUAUGAAGAAGGCCUUCGGGUUGUAAAGUACUUUCAGCGGGGAGGCGUUACCCGCAGAAGAAGCACCGGCUAACUCCGUGCCAGCAGCCGCGGUAAUAC
rnacentral:rRNA from 1 species